rnacentral:tRNA from 1 species
AUUUAAUUAGUUUAAUUAUUAGAAUAAUAAUUUGUGGAAUUAUAGGUGUAAGUAUUACUUUAAAUC